rnacentral:rRNA from 1 species
GGGUUGUGAGGUUAAGCGACUAAGCGUACACGGUGGAUGCCCUGGCAGUCAGAGGCGAUGAAGGAUGUGCUAAUCUGCGAUAAGCGUCGGUGAGGUGAUAUGAACCGUUAUAACCGGCGAUUUCCGAAUGGGGAAACCCAGUGUGAUUCGUCACACUAUCAUUAACUGAAUCCAUAGGUUAAUGAGGCGAACCGGGGGAACUGAAACAUCUAAGUACCCCGAGGAAAAGAAAUCAACCGAGAUUCCCCCAGUAGCGGCGAGCGAACGGGGAGGAGCCC